UCUAUUCAUUUUGCAUAUUCUACACGUCCUCUGCAGCAAGAACCUCUUCAAAUUUCAAUUCAAGGUAAUCAACUUCAUCAAUUCGUUUUGUAGACUCCUCAAUGUUGUUCGAAAUCAACAUCUGUAAUCUCUGUUGACAGAAACCACAUCCGGAGGAACCUCUUUGUUCACCCAACACAAUUUUCAUUCCAAUUCAACUGCAGGAAGAAGCAAGAACCUCUUCAAAUUUCAAUUCAAGAAACCACAUCCGGAGGAACCUCUUUGUUCACCCAACACAAUUUUCAUUCCAAUUCAACUGCAGGAAGAAGGUGAAUCAUCGCAAGGGAAUCGUGAUCGCAAAGGAAAGAACGUAAUUUCAAAUUAAGCACU